rnacentral:lncRNA from 1 species
UGCUCGACUUCCUUGUAUUUGGGAAAGUGUGGUGGUGGGUGCGCGCUCGCGGCGGAGGGUAAACAUUCGACAGUCCCCGCUCUGAGAGGGAGGGACAGAGAGCGAACUGUCAGAUCCGAGCGGAGCGGGCGGGCGAGAGAGGGAGGGAGAGGGAAAGAGAGAGGGAGAGCGCGCAAACCAGGGCGCAGAGCGAGCUCCCGCGGCAACUCGGCUCCAGCACGGCCAGCGCCAGCGCCGCCGUCGGUGCACCCUCGGAGCCGUGCAUCCUGCCCACUGGAGUUGGUUGUGUAUCAAGGAUCCCCUAUAUGCACACACACACCUCCACCUCCACCAAUGCACUCUUCUUCCUCCUCCUCCUCCAGACCUCUGCUGGGAAAAAAAUAAAACACCAACCCCAACCUUCAGCAGCAAGAGGCAACCAAGAGCUCGGGCAAUAGCAACUUCAGAGAAAUGCACCAUCGCAAGAAGUUUUCCUAGGACAGAACAAAACUUGAAACGCGAGGACCAGAGGGGGAGAGCAGGAGCCAGCCUCUCCUCUCGGCACGCGAGCAGCCAGCAUCACCACGCCUUCAAGGACGAAAAAAGUUUUACUACUCUAAGGGGAGACGAGUGAGCUGCGUUCCUGAGAAGGAGGCGUCAAGGAGCGGCUGGUCGCUGGUCGUCCACGGUUCGGUGAAGAAGAAAGGAGCGGCUUCUUUCUUUGUUGUCCCCCGUGAAAUCUUCACUUAGCAGGUGGACCGAGCCCCGCGCCCGGGCAGGGUCCGCGCUCGCCCGAGGACAGGAGGAGGAGCGCGAGCCGGCGCGCCCGGCCCGGAGCCUCAGCGCAGGCCCGCGCCCCGCCCGGCGAGCCCCACUGGAGCGAGCCGACCGCGCCGGGGCUGGGGGGCGGCCACGACCCCCCCUGAGGGGGGAGGCCACGGAGCGCGCCUCGAGAAGCGAGCCCCCCUCCCCGGAGCGCGGCUCCUGGUGCUGCUGCUGCUGCUGCUGACCAAGGCCGGCCGGCGACCCCCGCGCCCUGCCCAGCGGCCUUGCAGCUGCAGCCGGCGGCCGCGGCGGCGGCGGCGGCGGGGGCGGAGGCGGCGGCGGCGGCGGCGGGGCCGGCGGGGGCGGCGGGGGCCCGGGGCGGGGGCGGAGCGGGGGGAGGCGGCGGGAGGCGGGGGGGCGCGGCGGCGGCGGCGGCCGCGGCCG